rnacentral:lncRNA from 1 species
UCCAGAGCACUACGCCUGAUCCUGGGCUCCCAGAGUGUAGUGAAUGAAGGAGUCAAUCUAUUUUUUUGAGAAAUGUGGAUUUGAAAAGAAGAGAACUUGGGUUUUGUAACUAAUGAAUAUUCUAAGAUGUAGAGGCUUUUGUUGUUGUGUUUUGCUUUGCCAUUGUGGUCCUUUGUUUUAAAAUCUAAAAUUCCUAAUGUUACCAUAGUGGUAAAGCAAGGUCUUAGUCUGAUACAUCAUCUCUAAACUUAGAUUUUCAGAGUCUGAAGAACAUACAGUCCAUUCAGCCCUCUCCACUGUUGCUGGAACUGGCAAGUCAGUUCACCUGAUGUUAGAGCUUCCCCAUCAGAACUUUUCACUGGGAAAGUGAUAUUCUUCAAACCUGAAGCUGGAGCCAUCUGCUAGAGCAAUGUAACCCCAUCAUCCUGCUGAUGGGUAGAAGGCUAAAGAGGAAGAGUUCCAGCCAGCCUGCCAUCAUGUGAGAGACAGUAAUUAUUAUUUUGAACUGUUGUCUUCAGGAUUAUAUUUUAUAUAGUAUCUUUUUAGCCAUGGCCAACUGGAAUAGAACUAAAAUAAGCUCAUUUGGACUUUUCAUGUUUGAUUUUCCAUGAAAUAAGAAACUAAU